rnacentral:lncRNA from 1 species
UGCGAACUUGGGAGAGAAAAUUCCGGAUGCUAAAGUUGUUAGAAAAAUUCUUCGGACUCUUCCUGAACGCUUUCGGGCAAAAGUUGCCGCUGUAAUAUACCGAAAAUUCGGAAAGUAAAGAUGUCGAACUUUAAUCAAAUUGACCAAAGUACGAGGACGGUACACUUCGGAAAGUCCGAAGGUGUUAAAAUGAUUAAAAGUGAGUUACGGGAGGUUUUCGAGAGCUAUAGAAUCAAAAUCUGCAUUCUGCAGUUUUGAGCUCUCGGGGACCGAUCCCUGGUGGGAGAGACCGGUCCCCGAACGCGUAUGGAAUGAGACAGCCGAAAAAUCGGCUAAGUCCUGAGAAAUUAGCUCUCGGGAACCGGUCCCUGCCUGAGAGACCGGUCCCCGAGAGACCGGUCCCCCAAAGAGAGACCGGUUGCCCUGCGCGCAACAGCUCUGGCUGCGCGGGGAGAGCCUUCGGGAACCGGUCCCUGAAGGAGAGACCGGUCCCCGCCUGCGCGAACUGCCCAGUUCGGGCAGUGUAUUAAAGUGAAAGUUGAGGGGUUUAUUUGCAAUUAUGCAACCCAAUAGCUAUGUUAUGAGGGCUAAUGAGAUUUUCUCUCAUUCUCACCCUCUCACACACUCUCUUCUCUCCCUCUCUCUCUCUAGAAGGCAAAGGAGAAGAAGAAGAAAGAAAGAAAGGAAGGAAAAGAAGGAAAAGAAGGUGAAGAAGAAGAUCAAGAGGUGAAGCAACUUCAUCUUCUUCCUCUCUAGUGCAAGAAAGGAAAGCUUAUAAGGUGAGCUUUGAACCCUAUUGUAGUAAAACCCUAAAAUGGGCUUUGAAUAAACCUAGAAAUGGUUUUAAUGGAUUGUUUAGAGUCUUUGAAGCUUUCUUUUUGCUUCUUUAGAGAUCAAAGCCAUGGUUUAGCUUGAGGUGAGCUUUGGCCACCUCUCAUGGUGAAAUCCAAACUAGGGUUUGGAAUGAGCUAGGAAUGGUUUAGAUGAACUCUUUAGAGUAUAUUGAAGCUACUUUUGCUUCCCAAUGAGAUCAAACCCUAGGUUUGAUAUAUGUAUUGGAGCUAGGGCACCAAAUUGGGGCUUUUGCUCAUGGGGAUUUCUAAGUGCAAUUGACCCUCUAGAAACCUAAUUGGGGGUAUUUCCGACGCGUUGGUGCGCUCGGAUUAACGUUACGAAAAGUCUAUAGAAAGAUAUGGGCAAAAUGGCCUAAGUUGGCUUCGUUUUGCCGCAGGUGAAGAACGAGGAGCCUAUAAAUCUCAAGAAAAUCGUCGGAGCACCUAAAUAGACCUACGAGGUGGGUGGUGCUUCUCAAACUCAUUGAACUUCUCUCUAUGCCUAAUGUGUCAUUCAAUUGAGCAUAUGUUACAUAAUUGUUGCAUGCAUUUUAGGGUAAAGUAAUGAUGAAAAUGUAAUGUUGCAUGAUUGUGAGUACAACUUGCAUAAUAUGAUGAAUGAGAACUAUGUAAACGUCGAAAACCCUAUGUGUAUGCAUGAGAGAAAAGUGAGCACCCAAAGUGAGCAAAAGAACAGAGUGACACAAUGACAUAGAUCGAGUGGCAUUUGAAAAUGUAAAGUAAAGAGACACUAGAGUUAGUGUGAUGCAAAGAACUAACGUGAUGUAAAGAAUGAUGAAAAUGACCAUGAGUAAGAUUAAAGUAAAGUGGGGCAAUAAGAACAAG